rnacentral:lncRNA from 1 species
AUGAAUAAAGUCAUUUUCUUCUGCAUUUUAUCUUCCUGGAUUAUGCAAAUACUUUCCAGAGAUGUUUCAGAACAUGAAGUGACUCUCUUGAGAGUCCAGCGGAAGGAAAACAUCAGCCUGAACUGCAACAUGACUGACAGAUAUGAAAUGGCCUGGUUUCACCAGUAUUCUCAACAACUAAAUCAACUAAUAUCUGCAAAGGUGAGCAGUGCGUCAGGAAGACUUCUAGUUAUGUACAAUCAAAACUGGAGUCAUCUAACUGUUGGAGAACACCAUGCAGAUGUGGGGAUCACCACAGUCAAGCUAGUUAUUUCUGGAGUAACAGAGACAGACUCAGGCCUUUAUUUCUGUGGAACAAAAUCAGUGACUUCAAAGACUUCAAAGAUGCACUUCGACAAACCCACCAGACUACAGAUCGAGGACAAGCUGACAGACAGAGAAGACCGAGUCCAUUCUGUCACAGAAACACCAGAGAUUGUUGAUGUCACAGGUAAGGAAAUCAUUCUUGUGUCUCAUUUUCUCACAACUUGAAAUCAGUACAGAUUUAUCAAGGAUGUAAAAUGUAAAAUUUACUGGCUAACUAUCUGGGUUUCUUAAUUCUGCAAAAUUCUGCUUUCUCUUUGUAGAGGAAGUGACUACGAAAGAGAGGGCGUUGAUGUUGGUGGUGUUGGUCUGGCGAUUGCAGUGUUUUUUCUGGCUCAGUCAUUGCAGGAGGAAUAAUUCACUAUCGCGGCUGGCAGAAAGGAUGGAGCGCCGCCAAACGCUCAUCUCUGAUUCAUCACAAUUCAGCUAAAUAACUUCUGUUUCUGCUUUAUUUCAAAGUCUAACUCAGUAUACCCAUGAGCUUUGCUUUGCUGUAGGUUACCACAAAUGUUGUAAAUGUCCCCUUUUUUAGCCCCAGUGAAAAUACUUGUUAAUAGUUGUGGUUAUUUCUCAAGGUUUUGUGGUUCACUUGUGAUUAUCAGUAAUAUAAAAACGCUGCUGCACUGUAAAAAUCGAAUGAGCUGUUUACUUAAAAAAAAUGAAGGUAACAAUAUUACACAAAAUAUUUUUGAGUAGUUCUUCAGGCUUGAUUUUAUAAUGGCAUCUAUCAUGUGAAAUCUCCUAAAUGAAUUAAUCUAUGACUCAAUUGAUUUAAUAUGAUUAGGGAAAUGUGCUCAUUUAUUUUAAGCUUAUUCUCAAAGAUCUGUGAAUGAGGUCUGUUUGUAUUCUAUUAUUUUU